UACGUAGGGACCAAGCGUUGUCCGGAAUCAUUGGGCGUAAAGCGCGCGUAGGUGGCUUCGUAAGUCCGUUGUGAAAGUCAAAGGCUCAACCUUUGAAAGCCGAUGGAUACUGCGGAGCUAGAGUACGGAAGAGGAGAGUGGAAUUCCUGGUGUAGCGGUGAAAUGCGCAGAUAUCAGGAAGAACACCAAUGGCGAAGGCAGCUCUCUGGGACGGUACUGACGCUGAGACGCGAAAGCGUGGGGAGCGAACAGG
rnacentral:rRNA from 1 species